rnacentral:tRNA from 1 species
GGGGCCGUGGUCCAGCCUGGUGGGAUGCGCGGCUCGGGCCCGCGUAAGCCCCAUAGGGGCUGCGGAGGGACCCGGGUUCAAAUCCCGGCGGCCCCACCA